rnacentral:misc_RNA from 1 species
GAUGAAGAACGUAGCGAAAUGCGAUACUUGGUGUGAAUUGCAGAAUCCCGUGAACCAUCGAGUCUUUGAACGCAAGUUGCGCCCGAAGCCAUCAGGUUGAGGGCACGUCUGCCUGGGCGUCACAUAUCGUUGCCCAAUGCCUAUUGCAGUGCAAUAGGAAUUUCUAGGGCGAAUGAUGGCUUCCCGUGAGCGUUGUUGCCUCGCGGUUGGUUGAAAAUCGAGUCCUUGGUAGGGUGUCCCAUGGUAGAUGGUGGUCGAGUUAGAACGAUACCGAUCAUGUGCAUGCUCCCCAAAAUAUGGCCUCUAUGACCCACACGCGUCUUUUGACGCUCAUGACGAGACCUCAGGUCAGGCGGGGCUACCCGCUGAAUUUAAGCAUAUCAAUAAGCGGAGGA